CCUACGGGAGGCAGCAGUGAGGAAUAUUGGUCAAUGGACGCAAGUCUGAACCAGCCAUGCCGCGUGCAGGAAGACGGCUCUAUGAGUUGUAAACUGCUUUUGUACGAGGGUAAACGCAGAUACGCGUCUCUGUCUGAAAGUAUCGUACGAAUAAGGAUCGGCUAACUCCGUGCCAGCAGCCGCGGUAAUACGGAGGAUUCAAGCGUUAUCCGGAUUUAUUGGGUUUAACGGGUGCGUAGGCGGUCGGAUAAGUUAGAGGUUAAAUCCCGAGGCUCAACUUCGGAAUUGCCUCUGAUACUGUUCGGCUAGAGAGUAGUUGCGGUAGGCGGAAUGUAUGGUGUAGGGGGGAAAUGCUUAGAGAUCAUACAGAACACCGAUUGCGAAGGCAGCUUACCAAGCUACUUCUGACGUUGAGGCACGAAAGCGUGGGGAGCAAACAGGAUUAGAUACCCGGGUAGUC
rnacentral:rRNA from 1 species